rnacentral:rRNA from 1 species
GAUGAACGCUGGCGGCGUGCCUAAUACAUGCAAGUCGAGCGAACGGACGAGAAGCUUGCUUCUCUGAUGUUAGCGGCGGACGGGUGAGUAACACGUGGAUAACCUACCUAUAAGACUGGGAUAACUUCGGGAAACCGGAGCUAAUACCGGAUGAUAUUUUGAACCGCAUGGUUCAAAAGUGAAAGACGGUCUUGCUGUCACUUAUAGAUGGAUCCGCGCUGCAUUAGCUAGUUGGUAAGGUAACGGCUUACCAAGGCAACGAUGCAUAGCCGACCUGAGAGAGUGAUCGGCCACACUGGAACUGGGACACGGUCCAGACUCCCACGGGAGGCAGCAGUAGGGAAUCUUCCGCAAUGGGCGAAAGCCUGACGGAGCAACGCCGCGUGAGUGAUGAAGGUCUUCGGAUCGUAAAACUCUGUUAUUAGGGAAGAACAUAUGUGUAAGUAACUGUGCACAUCUUGACGGUACCUAAUCAGAAAGCCACGGCUAACUACGUG